rnacentral:rRNA from 1 species
UAUGGUCAAGUGAAGAAGCGCAUACGGUGGAUGCCUUGGCAGUCAGAGGCGAUGAAAGACGUGGUAGCCUGCGAAAAGCUUCGGGAGUCGGCAAACAGACUGUGAUCCGGAGAUGUCUGAAUGGGGGACCCAGCCAUCAUAAGAUGGUUAUCUUGUACUGAAUACAUAGGUGCAAGAGGCGAACCAGGGGAACUGAAACAUCUAAGUACCCUGAGGAAAAGAAAUCAACCGAGAUUCCCUUAGUAGUGGCGAGCGAACGGGGACUAGCCCUUAAGCUUCUUUGAUUUUAGCGGAACGCUCUGGAAAGUGCGGCCAUAGUGGGUGAUAGCCCUGUACGCGAAAGGAUCUUAGAAGUGAAAUCGAGUAGGACGGAGCACGAGAAACUUUGUCUGAAUAUGGGGGGACCAUCCUCCAAGGCUAAAUACUACUGACUGACCGAUAGUGAACUAGUACCGUGAGGGAAAGGCGAAAAGAACCCCGGAGAGGGGAGUGAAAUAGAUCCUGAAACCGUAUGCGUACAAGCAGUGGGAGCCCACUUUGUUGGGUGACUGCGUACCUUUUGUAUAAUGGGUCAGCGACUUAUUUUCAGUGGCGAGCUUAACCGAAUAGGGGAGGCGUAGCGAAAGCGAGUCUUAAUAGGGCGUCUAGUCGCUGGGAAUAGACCCGAAACCGGGCGAUCUAUCCAUGGGCAGGUUGAAGGUUAGGUAACACUGACUGGAGGACCGAACCGACUACCGUUGAAAAGUUAGCGGAUGACCUGUGGAUCGGAGUGAAAGGCUAAUCAAGCUCGGAGAUAGCUGGUUCUCCUCGAAAGCUAUUUAGGUAGCGCCUCAUGUAUCACUGUAGGGGGUAGAGCACUGUUUCGGCUAGGGGGUCAUCCCGACUUACCAAACCGAUGCAAACUCCGAAUACCUACAAGUGCCGAGCAUGGGAGACACACGGCGGGUGCUAACGUCCGUCGUGAAAAGGGAAACAACCCAGACCGUCAGCUAAGGUCCCAAAGUUAUGGUUAAGUGGGAAACGAUGUGGGAAGGCUUAGACAGCUAGGAGGUUGGCUUAGAAGCAGCCACCCUUUAAAGAAAGCGUAAUAGCUCACUAGUCGAGUCGGCCUGCGCGGAAGAUGUAACGGGGCUCAAACCAUACACCGAAGCUACGGGUAUCACGCAAGUGAUGCGGUAGAGGAGCGUUCUGUAAGCCUGUGAAGGUGAGUUGAGAAGCUUGCUGGAGGUAUCAGAAGUGCGAAUGCUGACAUGAGUAACGACAAUGGGUGUGAAAAACACCCACGCCGAAAGACCAAGGUUUCCUGCGCAACGUUAAUCGACGCAGGGUUAGUCGGUCCCUAAGGCGAGGCUGAAAAGCGUAGUCGAUGGAAAACAGGUUAAUAUUCCUGUACUUCUGGUUAUUGCGAUGGAGGGACGGAGAAGGCUAGGCCAGCUUGGCGUUGGUUGUCCAAGUUUAAGGUGGUAGGCUGGAAUCUUAGGUAAAUCCGGGAUUCUAAGGCCGAGAGCUGAUGACGAGUUACCCUUUGGGUGACGAAGUGGUUGAUGCCAUGCUUCCAAGAAAAGCUUCUAAGCUUCAGGUAACCAGGAACCGUACCCCAAACCGACACAGGUGGUUGGGUAGAGAAUACCAAGGCGCUUGAGAGAACUCGGGUGAAGGAACUAGGCAAAAUGGCACCGUAACUUCGGGAGAAGGUGCGCCGGUGAGGGUGAAGCACUUGCUGCGUAAGCCCACGCCGGUCGAAGAUACCAGGCCGCUGCGACUGUUUAUUAAAAACACAGCACUCUGCAAACACGAAAGUGGACGUAUAGGGUGUGACGCCUGCCCGGUGCCGGAAGGUUAAUUGAUGGGGUUAGCUAACGCGAAGCUCUUGAUCGAAGCCCCGGUAAACGGCGGCCGUAACUAUAACGGUCCUAAGGUAGCGAAAUUCCUUGUCGGGUAAGUUCCGACCUGCACGAAUGGCGUAACGAUGGCGGCGCUGUCUCCACCCGAGACUCAGUGAAAUUGAAAUCGCUGUGAAGAUGCAGUGUAUCCGCGGCUAGACGGAAAGACCCCGUGAACCUUUACUAUAGCUUUGCACUGGACUUUGAAUUUGCUUGUGUAGGAUAGGUGGGAGGCUUUGAAGCGUGGACGCCAGUUCGCGUGGAGCCAUCCUUGAAAUACCACCCUGGCAACUUUGAGGUUCUAACUCAGGUCCGUUAUCCGGAUCGAGGACAGUGUAUGGUGGGUAGUUUGACUGGGGCGGUCUCCUCCUAAAGAGUAACGGAGGAGUACGAAGGUGCGCUCAGACCGGUCGGAAAUCGGUCGUAGAGUAUAAAGGCAAAAGCGCGCUUGACUGCGAGACAGACACGUCGAGCAGGUACGAAAGUAGGUCUUAGUGAUCCGGUGGUUCUGUAUGGAAGGGCCAUCGCUCAACGGAUAAAAGGUACUCCGGGGAUAACAGGCUGAUACCGCCCAAGAGUUCAUAUCGACGGCGGUGUUUGGCACCUCGAUGUCGGCUCAUCACAUCCUGGGGCUGAAGCCGGUCCCAAGGGUAUGGCUGUUCGCCAUUUAAAGUGGUACGCGAGCUGGGUUUAGAACGUCGUGAGACAGUUCGGUCCCUAUCUGCCGUGGACGUUUGAGAUUUGAGAGGGGCUGCUCCUAGUACGAGAGGACCGGAGUGGACGAACCUCUGGUGUUCCGGUUGUCACGCCAGUGGCAUUGCCGGGUAGCUAUGUUCGGAAAAGAUAACCGCUGAAAGCAUCUAAGCGGGAAACUUGCCUCAAGAUGAGAUCUCACUGGGACCUUGAGUCCCCUGAAGGGCCGUCGAAGACUACGACGUUGAUAGGCAGGGUGUGUAAGCGCUGUGAGGCGUUGAGCUAACCUGUACUAAUUGCCCGUGAGGCUUGACCAUAUAACACCCAAGCAAUUUGAAUGCUCCAAGCCCCA